UAAAUUGAGAGUUUGAUCCUGGCUCAGGAUGAACGCUGGCGGCGUGCCUAAUACAUGCAAGUCGAACGAAACUUCUUUAUCACCGAGUGCUUGCACUCACCGAUAAAGAGUUGAGUGGCGAACGGGUGAGUAACACGUGGGCAACCUGCCCAAAAGAGGGGGAUAACACUUGGAAACAGGUGCUAAUACCGCAUAACCAUAGUUACCGCAUGGUAACUAUGUAAAAGGUGGCUAUACUACCGCUUUUGGAUGGGCCCGCGGCGCAUUAGCUAGUUGGUAGGGUAAAGGCUUACCAAGGCAAUGAUGCGUAGCCGAAUUGAGAGGUUGAUCGGCCACAUUGGGACUGAGACACGGCCCAAACUCCUACGGGAGGCAGCAGUAGGGAAUCUUCCACAAUGGGCGAAAGCCUGAUGGAGCAACGCCGCGUGGGUGAAGAAGGUCUUCGGAUCGUAAAACCCUGUUGUUAGAGAAGAAAGUGCGUGAGAGUAACUGUUCACGUUUCGACGGUAUCUA
rnacentral:rRNA from 1 species